rnacentral:rRNA from 2 species
AACUCUGGUAUUGAUUGGUGCUUGCAUCAUGAUUUACAUUUGAGUGAGUGGCGAACUGGUGAGUAACACGUGGGAAACCUGCCCAGAAGCGGGGGAUAACACCUGGAAACAGAUGCUAAUACCGCAUAACAACUUGGACCGCAUGGUCCGAGNUUGAAAGAUGGCUUCGGCUAUCACUUNUGGAUGGUCCCGCGGCGUAUUAGCUAGAUGGUGAGGUAACGGCUCACCAUGGCAAUGAUACGUAGCCGACCUGAGAGGGUAAUCGGCCACAUUGGGACUGAGACACGGCCCAAACUCCUACGGGAGGCAGCAGUAGGGAAUCUUCCACAAUGGACGAAAGUCUGAUGGAGCAACGCCGCGUGAGUGAAGAAGGGUUUCGGCUCGUAAAACUCUGUUGUUAAAGAAGAACAUAUCUGAGAGUAACUGUUCAGGUAUUGACGGUAUUUAACCAGAAAGCCACGGCUAACUACGUGCCAGCAGCCGCGGUAAUACGUAGGUGGCAAGCGUUGUCCGGAUUUAUUGGGCGUAAAGCGAGCGCAGGCGGUUUUUUAAGUCUGAUGUGAAAGCCUUCGGCUCAACCGAAGAAGUGCAUCGGAAACUGGGAAACUUGAGUGCAGAAGAGGACAGUGGAACUCCAUGUGUAGCGGUGAAAUGCGUAGAUAUAUGGAAGAACACCAGUGGCGAAGGCGGCUGUCUGGUCUGUAACUGACGCUGAGGCUCGAAAGUAUGGGUAGCAAACAGGAUUAGAUACCCUGGUAGUCCAUACCGUAAACGAUGAAUGCUAAGUGUUGGAGGGUUUCCGCCCUUCAGUGCUGCAGCUAACGCAUUAAGCAUUCCGCCUGGGGAGUACGGCCGCAAGGCUGAAACUCAAAGGAAUUGACGGGGGCCCGCACAAGCGGUGGAACAUGUGGUUUAAUUCGAAGCUACGCGAAGAACCUUACCAGGUCUUGACAUACUAUGCAAAUCUAA